rnacentral:lncRNA from 1 species
CAUUGAAUGUGACCGACUCUGGAGCUAUUUCUACUAUCAAGAUUUGCUCCGAUGGGAUAUGGAUAUAACUGUUUCUCCGACCUGAGACCACUACGAUGACUUGCAAGCAACUCAGUGCACUUAGGCACUGGACUACCUGAAUUUUUAAUUCAGUGACGGAAGGAUGCUGGGUCUAGUCAAGUACUUGACUUGUCGAUGCGUGUGUCAAGAUGGGAUUGUCCAC